AUUGAACGCUGGCGGCAUGCUUUACACAUGCAAGUCGAACGGUAACAGGGAGCUUGCUCCGCUGACGAGUGGCGAACGGGUGAGUAAUGCGUCGGAACGUGCCGAGUAGUGGGGGAUAACGCAUCGAAAGGUGUGCUAAUACCGCAUACGUACUGAGGUAGAAAGUGGGGGCCCUUCGGGCCUCACGCUAUUCGAGCGGCCGACGUCUGAUUAGCUAGUUGGUGAGGUAAAGGCUCACCAAGGCGACGAUCAGUAGCGGGUCUGAGAGGAUGAUCCGCCACACUGGGAUUGAGACACGGCCCAGACUCCUACGGGAGGCAGCAGUGGGGAAUUUUGGACAAUGGGCGCAAGCCUGAUCCAGCCAUGCCGCGUGUCUGAAGAAGGCCUUCGGGUUGUAAAGGACUUUUGUCCGGGAGCAAAUGCUGGUGGCUAACAUCCACCGGAGCUGAGAGUACCGGAAGAAUAAGCACCGGCUAACUACGUGCCAGCCGCCGCAGUAAGAC
rnacentral:rRNA from 1 species